rnacentral:sRNA from 1 species
AGCAUCGGGGGUGGGAGCAGGGCCCACGCAUUUCUCCUUUGGCCUGGGUGGGAACAGGGGAGGUGGUGGGCAGGGCCAGAAGGGCUUACUGGGAUUUUCUUUCUCUCUUGUCACUCCAGAGAAAGGUGGUAAAGAACACUUGUUUCAGUUUGAGGUGCUCGGCAGCCACGCACUGAAGGACGGUUUUUAAUUGUAGGGUGGGGUGUGAGUGCAGUGUGGUUCAGUCCCCUCCCCGUCUUGUGCUACCUGCCCUUGUACCUGGACCUGUGAAUCAGGGAUAAUAGUUACUAUCUUGUAGGACUGAGAAUGGUGCAUACUAACUGCUGAAGAACACGACUUGGGAGGCUGCAUUCUGAUAAUUCUCAGGAGGAAGGAUGUAUAGGAGAGACCAGAGUUUUUAAGGUGUGACCUCUGAACCACCUACAUCAGAGCCGACCGCCUCUCGUGUCUGGGAGCCAGCUUCUGAGUGUUGUCAAGGUAGUCCUGGUGGCUUGAGACUGGUGAUGUGCCGUUGCCAACAAUGGCUGCGCACUUCUGAGCAGUUGUUCAGCACUCAAGUGGGAUGAGAAUGGCAAGGAGUGCUCUGGGUGGCUUUUGACG